GGUCUAUCCUUGCUUAGAGUAUCGGCCUUUACGUUCCUCGCUCUCUCUCUCUCUCUCACACACUGAAUUUCACUCUCUACGGACUAAAAUUCACGCACAAAGAUGCACUGUUCUCCUCCUUUCACUCUUUCUAACCCUCUCUAAAGCCGUCGAAGAUGAAGACUUGAGCUUUCUUGAAGAACCGGCGAACGAUACCUUUUCCGCCCUCCUUUCAGAUCCGGACCAUUUCCAAACUCAAAUAACAAAACCCAUCUUCACUUUUCACUCGGUAAAUCCGUAAUCAUAUAAGAAACUCAUCACCGACCUCAUCGCCCACAACUUGUUCGAUUAAAUGCUUCUUUGACAACUUGUUACGCAAUAUACUUCUUCUAUUGAUUUUUGAGGUUUGGGGUUGUUGAUAUGGCUUUAAGGAAGAGACCAUGGCAGAAUGUUACGGGGGACUUGAUUGGAUGCGUUAUGCACGCAAGGUUUUACAGCUCUAAGGUGGACUUUAACAAGCUGAGGCCAAUGAUUCUGAAAAGAAUCGAAAGCCGAGCCAAGGACUACCCGGUUCGCGGCAUGGUUCCCGUGGCUCAGGAGGUACUUAGGGCCCGAGCAGCCCUCUACCAAGGCGUCUCUACUCUCCUCAAUGUCUUUCCUGUUAUGACCUGCAAGUUUUGUCCAGAAGUGUAUAUUGGUGAGAAAGGUCAUUUAAUUCAGACUUGCUGUGGUUACAAGCGCCGUGCUAAGAAUCGAGUUCAUGAAUGGAUUAGUGGUGGUUUGAAUGAUAUACUUGUUCCAGUAGAAACUUUUCAUCUGCAGAACAUGUUCCAAGAUGUUAUUAAGCACCAACAAAGGUUUGAUUUUGACCGUGUUCCUGCAGUUGUCGAACUGUGCUGGCAGGCAGGAGCCAAUCCAUAUGACGAAGAUAUGUGCUCCAGCAAUUGGAACUUGGAAAAUGUUUCCACUGCUAUUGAAGGAGCUGAGUCUUUGUCGCCUCAUGAACUGAAUUUAAUUGCCAAUAGAACUCUGAGAGCAUGGGAGAUCCUCAGAACUGGUGUACAGAAAUUGUUGUUGGUUUAUUCGGCAAAAGUCUGUAAAUACUGUUCAGAAGUUCAUGUUGGGCCAUCUGGACACAAGGCUAGGCUCUGUGGAGUAUUUAAGUAUGAGAGUUGGCGAGGAGCCCACUUCUGGGAAAAGGCAGAAGUAGAUGAUUUGGUGCCUCCUAAGCUUGUAUGGAAGCGGCGGCCUCAGGAUCCUCUUGUGCUUGUGGAUGCACAUAGGGAUUUUUAUGGACAUGCACCAGCAGUUGUGGAUUUGUGCACACAGGCUGGCAUUAUUGCACCAACAAAGUAUCAUUGUAUGAUGAAAGUGCAAGGUUUGUCAGGACCUGCUCAACUCAAAGUUUGAAGCUGGCUGUGAAUUGAAUUCUGUGGGUUUGGCUUCAAGGAACUUGGUCUAGUACAGUUCAGGGUGCAGAGCUCAGGCCAGAGUCUGAUUCACUUGCCUUAAGGAGUUUCUGGUAUGUCUCACACAUGGUUUUGUCAUUUUUGGUACCAGCAGAAAAUUUUGUUAGCAUACCCAGUAUCUUAAUGAAAGGGAAAUGCUUGUCCCCAUAGGAUCCAAGCUGGGAAUCUUGUGCUCUUAGCUUAUCUAGUAGUUAUUUGAUUCCAAAAUGGGAAAGGUAUACAAAACCCCCCAUGUAGUUUCUCUGUAAAACAUAAAAUCCAUGAAGUUUUGAGUGUAAACGGUCCGGCUCCCCUCCCGUUUAGAAUCCUCAUGUUGUCUUCUAUGAGUGAUACGUGACAAAUGACACAUCCAAAGGUUAAAAAACACCCAUGUCAACUGUGGGUUUUCUCUCAAUUUUUGGGUUUUUCUUUCUUUCUUUCUUCCUGUCUCUCUCCAACGUUGUCUCAGCCGCCUAAGAAUCAAAGGCGCCAAGAUCGUAACUUUCUGGCAAAAAGGGGUAAAAGCGGGACAAUAGAUGAGGAAAUCAAAGAAGAAUAAAAUCUUUCUGCCAAAAGUCAAGGACGCUCUAUUGUGCAAGGUGGUUGUUCAAGUUAUUGUCCUCUGUUUGUAAAACCAUUUUCAUUUUUCUUGUAAAACCAUUAUCUGUUCUAUCUCCAUUCUUAAUUUUAAUUUUUUUUUCUAUUGUUUUGAGCAGUUGUUUGGCCGCAUAAUUUACUGUAUAUUUCUUCUUGAUUUGGGCUUAUUGAAGACCUAACAUGUUAUCACCGAAUGGUCAAAUCUAUUCAAUGUCAAAAACUUCAGUUGAUCUUUA